AUCUAGGCCAACCUGACUUUAAGUAGGAGUAAAUUAAUCUUGAAAACAAUAUUUCUAAGUAGGUUCCCCUUUCAAGUCAAACAUCUUGU
rnacentral:pre_miRNA from 1 species